rnacentral:misc_RNA from 1 species
AAGUCGUAACAAGGUUUCCGUAGGUGAACCUGCGGAAGGAUCAUUAACACGUAUCCAUGUAACCCGCGUAGUUCGCAAUCUCUGAUAAAUCAUAGCCCGGAAAGUAGUUUUGAUUCAGAGACCUCUGGCCCGUGAGAAUCUUUGAGAAGUUACAAUUUUGAGCGGUAGUUCGAUAGGCCUUUUGUUUCCCCAAGCAGUCAGUGUCUGAAAGUGUCAUUGAUUGUGCAAGGAUAACGCUUCACGAUUCUUGUAGACCGCAUCUCGCGGGCAGGAGCUAGGCCAAAGGGUCCCCAUGCCCCCUUACAACCCCACAGUUUAAAAUGAAGCUCAAUGUAAUACAUUGGUAAAAAAACCGAACAACUGUUAGCAAUGGAUAUCUUGGUUCUC